UGGGGAAUUUUGGACAAUGGGCGCAAGCCUGAUCCAGCAAUGCCGCGUGCAGGAUGAAGGCCUUCGGGUUGUAAACUGCUUUUGUACGGAGCGAAAAGGUCUGCCCUAAUACGGUGGGCUCAUGACGGUACCGUAAGAAUAAGCACCGGCUAACUACGUGCCAGCAGCCGCGGUAAUACGUAGGGUGCGAGCGUUAAUCGGAAUUACUGGGCGUAAAGCGUGCGCAGGCGGUUAUGCAAGACAGAGGUGAAAUCCCCGGGCUCAACCUGGGAACUGCCUUUGUGACUGCAUCGCUGGAGUGCGGCAGAGGGGGAUGGAAUUCCGCGUGUAGCAGUGAAAUGCGUAGAUAUGCGGAGGAACACCGAUGGCGAAGGCAAUCCCCUGGGCCUGCACUGACGCUCAUGCACGAAAGCGUGGGGAGCAAACA
rnacentral:rRNA from 1 species